AUGACGCCUGUGGUGAGCGCUUCACUUGGAGCGUCGGGUCCUUUGCUGGUGAAGCUCGGCACCUUGCUCGCCAAUGAGUGUGGCCGUCUGAAAGGGGUCCGCCGUGAGAUCCGGUCCCUUAAAUCUGAGCUUACCUGUAUGCAUGCCGCGCUUACUAAAUAUGCAAUGAUAGAAGAUCCUGAUGUCCAAGUGAAGGCAUGGAUGUCAUUGGUGAGGGAGUUGGCCUAUGAUACCGAGGAUGUCUUCGACAAGUUCAUCCACCAGCUUGGUGACAGCCGAUACCAUGGCGGUUUCAAGGAGUUCUUCCGCAAGACCGCUCGCCGUCUGAAAACACUUGGGUCUCGCCGCGGAAUCGCCAACCAAAUUGACGACCUGAAGACUCGCAUCAAGAAAGUGCAAGAGCUCAAGGAUAGCUACAAGCUCAAUGAUGCUCCUUCUAGCACCAUGGACCAUAUAGCUAUGGAUCCCCGGCUUCAAGCGAUCUUUGCUGAGGAGGCACACAUUGUGGGCCUGGAAGGUCCAAGAAAUGAUCUUGCCAAGUGGAUGGUGGAAGAAGGAAACAAUUCCAGACAUUGCAAGGUGUUGUCUAUUGUUGGGUUUGGUGGAUUGGGAAAGACAACACUCGCAAAUGAGGUUUAUCGCAAGAUUCAAAGAGAUUUUCAGUGUAGGGCUUUUAUAUCUGUCUCACAAAAGCCAGAUAUAAAGAAAAUUAUCAAGGAUGUGAUCUCUCAAGUGUCAUGCGGAGAUGGAGCCACAAAAGAUACCAGUGAUUGGGAUGCAAGCAAGUUCAUUGCAAAGCUAAGGGAACUACUACAAGAUAAAAGGUAUCUCAUCUUCAUUGAUGAUGUAUGGUCGACACAAGCAUGGAACAUUAUUAAAUGUGCUUUUCCAGAGAAUAAUUGUUCUAGUAGAAUUAUAGCUACUACACGCAUCAUUGAUGUAGCAAAGGCAUGUUGUCCAACCACUGAUGACCGCAUGUUUGAAAUGAAACCCCUAAGUGAUGUUAACUCUAGAAGAUUGUUUUUCAAAAGAAUAUUUGGCUCUGAUGACUGUUGUCCCAAUAUGCUAAAUGAAGUUUCAAAUGAAAUUCUGAAAAGGUGUGGAGGCCUGCCAUUAGCAAUUAUCAGUAUAUCUGCUUUGUUGGCAAACAGACCAGCUAUGAAAGAGGAGUGGGAAAAGGUUAAAAGGUCAAUUGGUUCUGCACUGGAAAAUAAUCAGAGUCUGGAGGGAAUGAGUAGCAUCCUAUCUCUUAGCUAUAAUGAUCUUCAACCACAUCUGAAGACAUGUUUGUUAUAUUUAAGUGUAUUCCCUGAGGAUUAUGUGAUUGACAGAAAUAGGUUAGUGAGGCGAUGGGUAUCAGAAGGCUUUAUCUCAGAAGAGCGUGGACAAAGCCAACAAGAGGUUGCCGAGAAAUACUUUUAUGAGCUUAUCAAUAAAAGCAUGGUCCAAGCAGUGGACAUUGGGGAUGAUGGUAAGGUUAAUGCCUGCAGAGUCCACGACAUGAUGCUUGAAAUUAUUAUUUCAAAAUCAGUUGAAGAUAAUUUCGUCACCAUAGUGGGUGGAAGCCAAACAAGUUUGACAAACCACCAUGGUUUUAUCCGGCGACUAUCAGUUCAGCACAUUGACCAGGAGGCUGUAUCUGCAUUGGCAAAUGAAGAUCUCAGCCAUGUUCGAUCUCUAACGGUAACAUCAUCAAGUUGCCUGAAACACUUCCCUCGUCUUGUUGAAUUUGAAGCUUUGCGUGUAUUGGACUUUGAAGAUUGCUGGGAUUUGGAAGAGUAUGACAUGAACAAUAUGGACAAAUUAUUGCAACUAAAGUAUCUCAGCCUCGGUAGUGCAGACAAAUCAAAGCAACCGCGGAGGACUAUGGUGAUAGAUGGUGUAAAUUGCCUAGAUCCUAGGGAAACACAGACGGAAGUGUUGCCAACUGGAAUUGAGCGUCUUACUAAACUGCAAUAUCUAAUCACUAGGGGGUACCAUUGCAAGGUACCUAAUGGGAUUGGAAAUAUGAGCAGCUUACGGGUUAUCUCAACUUUUGAUAUUACCAGGAGUUCAGUGGAUGCAGUGGAGGAGCUUGGGAACCUUACCAGACUGAACGAACUUCGUUUAUGGUUGGAUUUUGGAGACGGGUAUAAGAGGCAUUAUGAGGUGCUUCUAUCCUUACUAUGCAAGUUUAGCAGCUGCAAACUCCAGUUCCUUCAUAUAAAUGGAACAAAAGGCUUCAUCAACUUCAUUGAUUUUUGGUCCCCUCCGCCAUCUUUCCUUCAAAUAUUUUAUAUGUCUGGUCAACUCUUAUUGUCAAACAUUCCAAGGUGGAUUACUCCAGGACUCAAAAGUCUUGCUCAUAUGUGCUUGUCUUUAAAUGAAUUAAGGGGGGAGGAUCUGCACACACUUGGUGAGCUCCCAUCCUUAGUUAUUCUAAGCUUGUGCUUGGAGACAGGAGUAAAAGGAAAGCUGACCGUAAUUGGAUUCCCAUGUCUGAAGAGGUUUCUCAUCUUUAGCUCGGAUGGGGCAUAUGUAACAUUCACAAAAGGGGCUAUGCCGAAGCUUGAGAAGCAUAUUUUGUCAGGCGAUGCGUCAGUGAUGAAUACCCAGGGAUUUUAUUUGGGCAUCGAGCAUCUAUCAUGUCUCAAAGAAAUAGAAAUAAGGAAUUGGAAGCGUGGUUCCAGUGUCACACAUCAGGAAUGCGAUGCAGCAGCAGCCGUGAUCAAGAAAGAAGCACGUGCCCAUCCCAACCGUCCAAAAUUUAAUUACAUAUCGAGUAGGUAUCAGAGAAUCAAUGAUACUGAUAGUGACGAGGAAAAGAGCAAGGAGGAGGAUAACUAA
rnacentral:rRNA from 1 species